GAAAUGCGAUAAGUAAUGUGAAUUGCAGAAUUCAGUGAAUCAUCGAAUCUUUGAACGCACAUUGCGCCCGCCAGUAUUCUGGCGGGCAUGCCUGUUCGAGCGUCAUUACAACCCUCAGGCCCCCGGGCCUGGCGUUGGGGAUCGGCGGAAGCCCCCUGCGGGCACAACGCCGUCCCCCAAAUACAGUGGCGGUCCCGCCGCAGCUUCCAUUGCGUAGUAGCUAACACCUCGCAACUGGAGAGCGGCGCGGCCACGCCGUAAAACACCCAACUUCUGAAUGUUGACCUCGAAUCAGGUACGAAUACCCGCUGAACUUAAGC
rnacentral:misc_RNA from 1 species